rnacentral:rRNA from 1 species
CCUACGGGGAGCUGCAGUGGGGAAUAUUGGACAAUGGGCGAAAGCCUGAUCCAGCCAUGCCGCGUGUGUGAAGAAGGCCUUCGGGUUGUAAAGCACUUUCAGUGGGGAAGAAAGCCUUGGGGCUAAUACCCUCGAGGAAGGACAUCACCCACAGAAGAAGCACCGGCUAACUCCGUGUCAGCAGCCGCGGUAAUACGGAGGGUGCGAGCGUUAAUCGGAAUUACUGGGCAUAAAGCGCGCGUAGGCGGUCUGAUAAGCCGGUUGUGAAAGCCCCGGGCUCAACCUGGGAACGGCAUCCGGAACUGUCAGGCUAGAGUGCAGGAGAGGAAGGUAGAAUUCCCGGUGUAGCGGUGAAAUGCGUAGAGAUCGGGAGGAAUACCAGUGGCGAAGGCGGUCUUCUGGACUGACACUGACGCUGAGGUGCGAAAGCGUGGGUAGCAAACAGGAUUAGAUACCCCAGUAGUC